rnacentral:rRNA from 1 species
CAAAUUUCUGCCCUAUCAACUUUCGAUGGUAGAGUAGUGGUCUACCAUGGGUUCAACGGGUAACGGGGAAUUAGGGUUCUAUUCCGGAGAGGGAGCCUGAGAAACGGCUACCACAUCCAAGGAAGGCAGCAGGCGCGCAAAUUACCCAAUCCCGACUCGGGGAGGUAGUGACAAUAAAUACUGAUACAGGGCCCUUUUGGGUCUUGUAAUUGGAAUGAGUACAAUUUAAAUCCCUUAACGAGGAACAAUUGGAGGGCAAGUCUGGUGCCAGCAGCCGCGGUAAUUCCAGCUCCAAUAGCGUAUAUUAAAGUUGUUGCAGUUAAAAAAGCUCGUAGUUGAACCUUGGGCCUGGUUGGUCGGUCCGCUCACCGCGUGCAACUGAUCCGACCGGGCCUUUCCUUCUGGGGAGCCGCAUGCCCUUCACUGGGUGUGUCGGGGGAACCAGGACUUUUACUUUGAAAAAAUUAGAGUGUUCAAAGCAGGCCUAUGCUCGAAUACAUUAGCAUGGAUAAUAGAAUAGGACGUGUGGUUC